CCUGUUGAACUCACCUGUUAGGUUUCCUUGCUCAUUGCCCAGAUGGUGGUAGGGUUAUUAGAGACAGGAAACCGUGUCGAAGAGAGACGUGCCAACCCGGACAAUAGAUAAGCAGGACAUUCAGAACUGGACUGUGCAAUUGUUAAGGGUUGGAAUGCUACUGGAGAUAAUCAAAUAGUCGACUUCCGAGACAGGUUCCCAAGGCAGACUUGAACUCCUUCAGUGUCUUGGAUGUGACCACCCAGGUCGGCAGGGAGUUCCAGUCUUGGACGACACGCUGGGAGAAGAAGCGGGCUCUGGCGUCAACUUGACUGCGGCUCACUCGGAUUUUGAACGGAUGACCUCUUGUACGAGUGUCACGGGAGAUAUCCCAUAGAUCUGCAGGUUGUAUUGGACAGUUUCCGUUGAAGAUUUUCCAGCAUUUGAUCAGGUCAGCCCUCAGUAGUCGUCCCUUUAUGGAGUAAAGGUCGAGCG